UCCCAAAUCAGCCGCUAUCUCCACCCUCUCUCUUCUUUUUUUCCUUUUCCAGCAAAACGCCAACAUUUCUAAGCCAUGGCCAGACUUUGUGUCUCCGUUUUUUAGCAUAAAAUCUGUCCUCCCCUGCUCCCAUUUGGCGUAUCUCAACUUUUCAGAGAUGAUCUUUCUACUCUUAUGCUCAAAGACGCAGCAAAUCGAGUUUGCUUCAGUCGAGAUUUCAUCAUUUCGGAUAGGACCUGAACAAAUCACGUGAAUCUGUCCAAACCUCCAACUUUCGGAUUCAAACGGAUGUGUUGACCAAGAUUUCGAAUCCGAAAUUUCAAUUCCCGCUCAUGAAACCCUAAUUGUUUUCUCCUAUAAGUACUCCUAAAAUCUUCAGCCGAAAAGGGAGGAACACGGUGAAAACCAGGCUUGAAUCAUCAAAAAUUCCUCAACUCGUAUCUUUUGCUUCAAUUUACAUUCAAGUUCUAAAUCUCAUUUUACUGUUGGAGGAGUAGUGGGUCUGAGACCUCAAAACCCCGUUCACUGCCCUGUGGAAGGUAAAAAUAUCAAAAUUUAUAUUUAGCUUAUAAUGUAGUUGUAUACAUAUGUGUUACUAUGCUGGAAUCUUUGUUUAUAGUAUAUUUUAAAAACUAUGCUUCUUAAGUGACUACUACUAUGGUGGGACAAUGAAUGACAUUUUGAUGUAUUGACAUAAAAGAACAACUUUACUGUCUAAAUGAUAACGUCUCUUUCUUUCUGCCCAUUUGUUAGAGUAACGAAAAUGACUAAUGUCUUGUUCUAAGCUUUAGAUAAUAUAUGUAUAAGAUACCAAAAAAUGCCUUGCUUAAAAUAAAUAGGAUCGACAUAGUGUAAGCUGUUGGAUUAACCUUACGUUUUUGCAUUUCGGAUAUCAUCUUUAUGAGUUCUGUUGUGGCCCUUGAAUGAAUAUUAAUGUUAUUAAGGCUUUAGACUAAGGAUCUUGUGCUAGAAGUGGAGGAUUUAAGAAAUAUUGCCAUAUACUCAGAUUCUUCCCCCUCUUCUUUAUGACAUAGAAAUUUGGAUUUUAGGAAAUAUUUUCUUUGUUUCUAAAUGAGUUUAAUGGGAUACAUGUGUGGAAUGUCACUUUUUUGGAUAUUAAAGUUACUGAUAAGUCAAAUACCAAAGAAGUCAUGUUGUAGGAUCUUUCUUUUACCAUACACAUACUUUAACCCCUUUCGCAUUUUGAUGACUACGCCUUAAUAUAUUUGUAAAUGCCGCUUGAAGUUUUGUUAAACUUUAGAAAUAUUGUUACGACCCGGAUUUUCCAUUUUUCGGGAGUCGCGAUGGCGCCUACUAAUGAGAGCUAAGCAAGCUAAUCAUUAACUACUUACUUCAUUAUCAAAUUACUUCCUUGUAACAAAUAUAAGUCGAUAACAUGAAAACAAUGGAACUUUAAAUAACUAAGCGGAAGAUAACAAUUAAAUGUCUGAAAUUUGCAUCUAUUACAGAUAAUUAAGUCUUAACCACCCAAAACCUGGUGUCACAGUAUCACAGACGGUCUAAGAUUUACUACAUACAAAGUUUGAAGAAAUAAUAAUACACUGUUUCUAAAUGUAAGGAAAAUGAAACAUGAAUAUAGGGAUAGAGGGAGAUGCCAGGGCCUGCGGACGCCUGCAGGUCUACCUUGGAUCUCCGAGUGGACUGAAGGUAGUCUCCACACUAUGGUCCAAAAGUUGUUCCAUGAUCUGCACACAGUGCAGAGUGUAGUAUUAGCACAACCGACCCCAUAUGAUAGCAAGUGUCUAGCCUAACCUCGGCGAAGUAGUGACGAGGUUAGGACUAGACUACCAAAUAAACUUGUGCAGUUCAAAUAUAUACAACAAAAAAGAAAUACAGAAAUAACCAGUCAAAGUGGGAGGGGGAACAUGCUGUGAGGGAGAUAACAGUUCCGAAUAGAAAGACAUCAAGUAAAGAAAGAAACAACAUAACUCGGAUAUCAACAAAGAAUCAGAAAUUAACAAUUUGCGUGGCACCACCCUUCGUGCUUUUACUCUCGUCCUCACCAAAGUAAUUAUAUAAUAAAAGUGUGCACGACAUCAUCCUUUGUGCUUUUAUUCUCGUCCUUACCAAAACAAUCAUAUAAUCAAGAUGUGCACGACAUCACCCUUCGUGCUUUUACUCUUUUUUCUCACCAUAUAAUCAAUAAAAUCAGCAUAGAAUGGUACGUCGUGUAGCACGACAUCACCCUUCGUGCUUUAAUACUCUUCCUCACCCAAACAACAAUCACAAACAAGGGGGGGGGGGUAAGGGAAUAAACAAGAUCAUAAUAGAAAUCCCGGCAAGGGAAUAACAAUUAAACAAUUAAAUCCCGGCAAGGGAACUACAUCAAUAAUAUCAACAUUCAGGCAAAGGAGAUAACCAAUAAAGCAACAAUAUCCCGACAAAGGAACAAUUUAAUAACUCUUUCUCUUUCUUUCACUUUUACUUCACAACUCACUUUACCAUUUGAGUCAAUGCUCCAAAGGGUUCAAUCAACUCAUUUACUUUCGCAAUUCGUAAUAUAGCUUGAUCCAAUGUUCAUCGAUGUUCAAAGGUCACAAUUCCUUCCACAAACUUUUCACAACAAAUAGAAAUCACCUCUAAAGCAUGGAUAAUACAACGAAGUCAUGAAAAUCACAAUAUAAGACUCACGAGCAUACUUGACACCAACGUAUAGAUACUCGUCACUAUGCCUAUACGCCGUACUCAAUAAGAAGCAUAUAGCAAAUAGGACACAACUCCUAAUCCCUCAAGCUAAGGUUAGACCAAACACUUACCUCGAUGCCUCGAACACAAUUCACGAUUCAAUUAUAGCUUUAUCCCUUGAUUCCACUACCAAUUCGCUCAAAUCUAGCCACAAGUUACUUAAUUACAUCAAUAAACGCUAAAUGAAUCAACCCCAAUGCAUGAAAGUGAGUUUUCUAAAGUUUUACCCAAAAGUCAAAAAUUGCCCCCGGGCCCACAUGGUCAAAACCCGAGGUUCGAACCAAAACUUGAUUACUCAUUCCCCCACGAACCCAAAUAUAUAAUUUGUUUUGAAAUCGGACCUCAAAUCGAGGUGCAAAUCCCCAAUUUUUGAAAAAAACCUAGGUUCUACCCAAAACACCCAAUUUUCACCAUGAAAAUCAUUGAUUUUAAGUUGAAAUCACGUUAAAAGAUGUUAAUGAUUGAAGAAAACUAGUUAAAAAUAACAUACAAUUGAUUUGGAAGAAGAGUUGUUCUUGGAAAAUCGCCCGAAGGAGUUUGUGUUUUGAAAAGAUGUGAAAAAUGAGUUUAAAAUCGUCUAAGUAUAAAGUUGCAGGUCGCAGGUAUGAGAAUUGCGGACCCCGACCUCUGCCAAUUUGGGAAAUGCGAAACAGGAUUCGCACUUCAGGAAAGCUGGACCUUCUCAUUUGCGAACAGAAAGUCGCAUUUGCGACUUGCGAAUUGCGAAGAAUGGAAUGCGACCCAAGGCUGGACAGGUAUUUUUGCAUUUGCGAAGGAAUACUCGCAUUUGCAAGCAAGGCAGGCCUGAUCAUACCAUCAAAGUUUCUGCAACCUCCUAAGUCUAAAAAUCCACCUCGUGGCCUAUCCAAAACUCACCCGAGCCCUCGGGGCUCCAAACCAAAUAUACACAACCUCAAGCACAUCCUACAGACUUAUUCGUGUACUCAGAUCAUCAAAAUAACCUCAAUAAAAACGAAUUAAACCUCAAAUUCAAAGAAUUUUCUCAAACUUCUUAAAACAUCAUUUUUUGCAAUUUAGGUCCAGAAUCACGUCAAAUGAUAUCCGUUUCUCACCAAAUUUCAUAGAAACAUCUUAAAUCAUAUAUAAGACCUAUAUCGGGCGCCGGAACCAAAAUACGGGCCCGAUAUCAUCAUGUUCUAAUCAAAAUUCAUUUCAAAAACCUUUAAACAAUUUUAGAAAAUAAUUUUCUUUAAAAAUUCAUUUCUCGAGCUUGGGACCUCGGAAUUCGAUUCCGGGCAUACGCCCAAGUCCCAUAUUUUCCUACGGACCUUCCGGGAUCGUCAAAUCAUGGGUCUUGAUUCGUUUACCCAAAACGUUGAUCGAAGUCAUAUUAACUCAUUUUAUAGUCAAAAUUUAUCAUUUUUCACAGAUUUUCACAUUUAGGCCUUUCGGCUAUGCGCCAGGACUAUGCACGCAAAUUGAGGUGAUUCUAAGCGAGGUUUUUAAGGCCUCGGAACGUAGAAUUUUAUUUUAAAACAAGUGAUGAAUUUUUGGGUCAUCACAUUUGUG
rnacentral:lncRNA from 1 species